rnacentral:tRNA from 1 species
UCCUUGUAGCUCAAACGGUAAAGAAUCUGCCUGAAACGCAGGAGACCCAGGUUCGAUCCCUGGGUCAGGAA